AGGCAAAAUCAGGCCAAAGUUCAUGAAUUGAUCUAAAGAAAAAUCCAAAAGUUCACGUUUUUGAGAUAAGAAAAUCUGCGAGAAGAUGGAGACAGAUAAGAUGGAAUGCAAAACAACGAGUACUCAGUCUUGCACGCAUACCCGAAUCACAAGAAGUUGUAGAGUUUGAACCAAAUGAAAUAGAGUUAGCAAAUUUACAAAUUUUAAAUUGUGUUUGGAGCCUUCCCAGAAAAUAGAACUUAAGAUUGCUGUAUAGUUAGGAUGUCUCAAUAUCACAUUAGUUGUUUCUGAGUAAUUAAAAUUGUUAAAUAUUGACUUAGUAUGUGAUUGCAAUUUGUUGUUUCUUAGAGGAAAUAAUAAAAUAAGAAAGAUGUAACAUACCUUGAUUUAGAAUGAAAUGAAAUACUCCCUCCGUCCUAGCUGU